rnacentral:rRNA from 1 species
UACAGAGGGUGCGAGCGUUAAUCGGAAUCACUGGGCUUAAAGGGUGCGUAGGCGGACGCGUAGGCGCUUUGUGAAAUCCCUCGGCUCAACCGAGGAAUUGCUUGGCGAACCACGUGUCUUGAGGUUGGUAGAGGUCGCUGGAACGAUAGGUGGAGCGGUGAAAUGCGUAGAUAUCUAUCGGAACGCCAAAGGUGAAGACAGGCGACUGGGCCACACCUGACGCUGAGGCACGAAAGCGUGGGGAGCAAACGGG